GUCCACGACUCUUCCACCCUAAAGGCAUCCAAUCUUGCCUGAUCUUGAAAGCUAAACAGGGUCAGGCCUCGUUAGUACUAAAAUGGUAGGAUAGCAAAAAUUCCAAGAAGUUUCGUAGAUU
rnacentral:rRNA from 1 species